rnacentral:rRNA from 1 species
GAUGAACGCUGGCGGCGUGCCUAAUACAUGCAAGUCGAGCGAACAGACGAGGAGCUUGCUCCUCUGACGUUAGCGGCGGACGGGUGAGUAACACGUGGAUAACCUACCUAUAAGACUGGGAUAACUUCGGGAAACCGGAGCUAAUACCGGAUAAUAUAUUGAACCGCAUGGUUCAAUAGUGAAAGACGGUUUUGCUGUCACUAUUAAUGGAUCCGCGCCGCAUUAGCUAGUUGGUAAGGUAACGGCUUACCAAGGCAACGAUGCGUAGCCGACCUGAGAGGGUGAUCGGCCACACUGGAACUGAGACACGGUCCAGACUCCUACGGGAGGCAGCAGUAGGGAAUCUUCCGCAAUGGGCGAAAGCCUGACGGAGCAACGCCGCGUGAGUGAUGAAGGUCUUCGGAUCGUAAAACUCUGUUAUUAGGGAAGAACAAAUGUGUAAGUAACUAUGCACGUCUUGACGGUACCUAAUCAGAAAGCCACGGCUAACUACGUG